GGAAAAUGAGAUUUCGUCUGAUCUCAUCGCAUUUGGCAAUUUUUUAACGCAACGAAACAAAAAGGUUUCACAUCACAGCCAAAACACCGAUAUUCAAGCUUGAAUAAAGUAAAUCAGAUUCUGUAUAAUCUUAAUACAUACCUUAUGUGCAAUAACAUGUCAAAUUUGGAUUACCUUAUAUUUGGAUAUACACCAGGGGCGGAUCUAGGGUAAG